rnacentral:rRNA from 1 species
CGGCGGACGGGUGAGUAACGCGUGGGUAACCUGCCUCAUACAGGGGGAUAACAGUUGGAAACGGCUGCUAAUACCGCAUAAGCGCACAGUACCGCAUGGUACGGUGUGAAAAACUCCGGUGGUAUGAGAUGGACCCGCGUCUGAUUAGGUAGUUGGUGGGGUAACGGCCUACCAAGCCGACGAUCAGUAGCCGACCUGAGAGGGUGACGGCCACAUUGGGACUGAGACACGGCCCAA